rnacentral:rRNA from 1 species
ACUAGCAGUAAGAGUUUGAUCCUGGCUCAGAUUGAACGCUGGCGGCAUGCCUAACACAUGCAAGUCGAACGGUAACGCGGAGAGCUUGCUCUCUGGCGACGAGUGGCGGACGGGUGAGUAAUACUUAGGAAUCUGCCCAGUUAGUGGGGGACAACUCGGGGAAACUCGAGCUAAUACCGCAUACGCCCUACGGGGGAAAGCGGAGGACUCUUCGGAGCUUCGCGCUAAUGGAUGAGCCUAAGUCGGAUUAGCUUGUUGGUGGGGUAAAGGCCUACCAAGGCGACGAUCCGUAGCUGGUCUGAGAGGACGAUCAGCCACACUGGGACUGAGACACGGCCCAGACUCCUACGGGAGGCAGCAGUGGGGAAUAUUGGACAAUGGGGGCAACCCUGAUCCAGCAAUGCCGCGUGUGUGAAGAAGGCCUUCGGGUUGUAAACCCCUUUCAGCAGGGACGAAAAUGACGGUACCUGCAGAAGAAGCCCCGGCCAACUACGUGCCAGCCGCCGCGGUAAUAC